CAGACAUGCCCUGUGAUGCUUUAAUAGCGCUGCCUGUGCUGAUCUGUGAUGCUGAGAAGUGUUUGUGGAUGAGAAAGCAGUAACAGAAGAGUAUGAAAGUAUAGAAACAACAAGCCAAGAGCCGCUGCGUUUAGAGACUUAUAAUAAUUAAUAAACGAAUAAACAUGAGGGUAUUUUUUGUUUUGUAUUGUCUUCCAUUUUUUUUUACCCCCCCCUUUCUUUUUCUUCUUUUCUUCCCCCUGUAUCAGAUGUGGAAAUCAGGCAUCCGUGAUUUGUUUUCCUCUUCUCAGAUUUUACUUUGUUCAUGAUUUCACUGCCUUUACUGCUGCCUCUAGCAUCGUUUCCCUCCUUUCUUUUUUUUUUUUUCUUUUUUUUACCUCCUGUCAUCAUGCUGCUGUUCGUAAAAUGUCGCACAUCUCAAGAGGAGCGUGUUUCCCUCCCCGGCUCCACCGAGAACCAGGAGGUGACAUUACUCCCGCCAUCUUCAUCUUUCGCCCUCGUCCUCAUUUAUCAACAGAAGCAUUAACAGAAAAUGUGAAUCCAUCUCUAGAUCUCAAAAUAAAAGUCCGACAGGAUAUCAAGCCCAUGACGCUUUGUAUAAUUUUCUGUGUAUGUGUGUAUAUUCUUCAGAUUGAAACUAUUAUUAUUAUUAUUAUUAUUAUUAUUAUUAUUAUUAUUAAUGCGAGAGGUUUGUUUUACAGCCAAAGCAUGUAACAUUGUUGCUUUAAGCCUUUCAAAUGGGCUACACACAAGACUUGACUGUACGAUGUCUACAUUUCCACAGUGGCCUGUUAUUGAUAUAAUAUUUAAAAAAACAAACAAAAAAAAGGAACUCAGUUAUAAUUUGUAGCCUGAUUCCCUCUGUACAGACAUCAUGACUAUAUUGAAAUAUAUGAAUACAUACAGUAUAUAUUUAACACAAACUUGAGUUGUGAUGAGUCGGGGCGUAGAGUAUGUACAAAAUGCUGAGUGUGUAUUGUACUUAUUGUUUCAUCUUUUUAAUGGUUUACUUUUGUUGCUUUAAGACGACUGUACAGUGAUGUAUUAAACUUUGCAAGCAUUACCAUAGAA
ensembl:lncRNA